GUCCUUUAGAUUAUAAUUUAAGGUCUAACCUGCCCACUGAAAUUUUAAAUGGCCGCGGUAUUUUGACCGUGCAAAGGUAGCAUAAUCAUUAGUUUUUUAAUUAAAAGCUGGAAUGAAAGGUUGAAUGAGAAAAUAACUGUCUCUAAAUAAAUAUUUGAAUUUUAUCUUUAAGUAAAAAAGCUUAAAUUUUAUUAAAAGACGAGAAGACCCUAUAGAGUUUAAUAGAAUUUUAAAAAUUAAAUUUUUAGGAUUUUUAUUUUAAAUUUUGAGUUUUAUUUGAUUGGGGUGAUUGAAAAAUUUAAGUAACUUUUUUUAUUAUUUACAUUAAUAUAUGAAUAUUUGAUCCAUUUUUUAUGAUUAAAAGACUAAAUUACCUUAGGGAUAACAGCGUAAUUUUUUUUUAGAGUUCAUAUUGAAAAAAAAGUUUGCGACCUCGAUGUUGGAUUAAAAUUAAUUUUUGGUGUAGAAGCUAAGAAUUUUAGGUCUGUUCGACCUUUAAAAUUUUACA
rnacentral:rRNA from 1 species